rnacentral:misc_RNA from 1 species
UACGGAGGGUGCGAGCGUUGCUCGGAAUCACUGGGCGUAAAGCGUGCGCAGGCGGCGUGCCAAGUCAGACGUGAAAGUCCGGGGCUCAACCCCGGGAGGUCGUUUGAAACUGGCAUGCUUGAGUACGGGAGAGGGGUGUGGAAUUCCCAGUGUAGGAGUGAAAUCCGUAGAUAUUGGGAGGAACACCAGUGGCGAAGGCGACACCCUGGCCCGAGACUGACGCUCAGGCACGAAAGCGUGGGUAGCAAACAGG